rnacentral:rRNA from 1 species
UACGUAGGGUGCAAGCGUUAAUCGGAAUUACUGGGCGUAAAGCGUGCGCAGGCGGCUUUGCAAGACAGGUGUGAAAUCCCCGGGCUUAACCUGGGAACUGCAUUUGUGACUGCAUCGCUGGAGUGCGGCAGAGGGGGAUGGAAUUCCGCGUGUAGCAGUGAAAUGCGUAGAUAUGCGGAGGAACACCGAUGGCGAAGGCAAUCCCCUGGGCCAAUACUGACGCUCAUGCACGAAAGCGUGGGGAGCAAACGGG